rnacentral:rRNA from 1 species
AACGAACGCUGGCGGCGUGCCUAACACAUGCAAGUCGAGCGAGAAAGCCCGCAAGGGUGAGUAAAGCGGCGCACGGGUGCGUAACACGUGGGUAAUCUGCCCUGAAGUCCGGAAUAACUCGCCGAAAGGCGUGCUAAUGCCGGAUGAGACCACGGGAGCCUCGGCUCCUGCGGGAAAAGGUGGCCUCUGUAUACAAGCUAUCGCUUCAGGAUGAGCCCGCGGCCCAUCAGCUCGUUGGCGGGGUAAUGGCCCACCAAGGCUACGACGGGUAGCUGGUCUGAGAGGACGAUCAGCCACACUGGAACUGAGACACGGUCCAGACUCCUACGGGAGGCAGCAGUGGGGAAUCUUGCGCAAUGGGCGAAAGCCUGACGCAGCAACGCCGCGUGUGCGAUGAAGGUCUUCGGAUCGUAAAGUACUGUCGCGAGGGACGAAUAAGGGGCGGGCGAACAUCCCGUUCCGAUGACGGUACCUCGAGAGGAAGCACCGGCUAACUCUGUGCCAGCCGCCGCCGUAACAC